CUCUGAUGUUAGCGGCGGACGGGUGAGUAACACGUGGAUAACCUACCUAUAAGACUGGGAUAACUUCGGGAAACCGGAGCUAAUACCGGAUAAUAUUUUGAACCGCAUGGUUCAAAAGUGAAAGACGGUCUUGCUGUCACUUAUAGAUGGAUCCGCGCUGCAUUAGCUAGUUGGUAAGGUAACGGCUUACCAAGGCAACGAUGCAUAGCCGACCUGAGAGGGUGAUCGGCCACACUGGAACUGAGACACGGUCCAGACUCCUACGGGAGGCAGCAGUAGGGAAUCUUCCGCAAUGGGCGAAAGCCUGACGGAGCAACGCCGCGUGAGUGAUGAAGGUCUUCGGAUCGUAAAACUCUGUUAUUAGGGAAGAACAUAUGUGUAAGUAACUGUGCACAUCUUGACGGUACCUAAUCAGAAAGCCACGGCUAACUACGUGCCAGCAGCCGCGGUAAUACGUAGGUGGCAAGCGUUAUCCGGAAUUAUUGGGCGUAAAGCGCGCGUAGGCGGUUUUUUAAGUCUGAUGUGAAAGCCCACGGCUCAACCGUGGAGGGUCAUUGGAAACUGGAAAACUUGAGUGCAGAAGAGGAAAGUGGAAUUCCAUGUGUAGCGGUGAAAUGCGCAGAGAUAUGGAGGAACACCAGUGGCGAAGGCGACUUUCUGGUCUGUAACUGACGCUGAUGUGCGAAAGCGUGGGGAUCAAACAGGAUUAGAUACCCUGGUAGUCCACGCCGUAAACGAUGAGUGCU
rnacentral:rRNA from 1 species